AGAUGGAGACCGGUCGAAGCUAAGACGCUACUGGGCUGCCACUGGCGACAGACCAUGUCAGCAAAACAUGCAGGGACAGGGGUAUUGGCGGUGCACAAAAUUGGCACUGUGGAAAAGCGUGCCAAUGAGGGACAGCUGGAAAAAGGGGGCAUCAUCAGCUCGUGGAAUUUGGAUUCGGCUUUGGGUUGAGUUGUAGCUCGAACUUGGAAUAAGCUAUAACUAAUAAAAAAGAAAGAUUCGCCAGAAAAAAGGAAAAGAAAGAGGGGAAAUUUCUUCAUGAGGAGGAGACGGUGACGUUUUCCAUUUCCAUAUGCGCGCCCCUUUCAAAUAGUGUCU
rnacentral:sRNA from 1 species